GGUUUCAGAUGUCUCAUCACAUUCCUAUCCGCCUCCCCCUCUCUCGGCGAUUCAGAAACCCCUGCUUUCUCUCUCAAAUGAGAUCUAGGGUUUCUACAUGUGAUUCAAGAUCUGGCUAUCACAGCUUUCUCUCUCAAACGAGAUCUAGGUUUUCUACAUACUCUUCAAGAUCUGGCUUACACAGUUCGGUUCGACACUUCCAUGGAACCAAAAAAUCUGAGCCAAAUCAGGCCUCUGGAGCGUACAUCUUCCGUCCUAAUGGAAAGUUUCCAAUAAAACCUGCAGGACGGAAAGCUUUUCGAGUUAUAAAAGGUAAAGCCGAAAAGUGAAGCCGUGAAGGUGAGGCUGAGGGUGUAGAAGAUACCAUCCUUACCUGAUCUACCUUUUUGUUUUGGUAUUUGUGUAGUUUAUGUUUAUACGCUGUUAAAUUUCAUGUGUUAUAAGUUGUUUUAAACAGUUUUGCUACUGUUUUUGGAUGUAUUUAUGUUAGAUCUGCGUAAAAUUUUCAGAUCUGUGUCGGUUCUGGGUUUUUAUAAUUUUUUGUGAACUGAUAAUGUGAAUGGAGUGAUAAAAUGAAGGUUAUUGCUUCAUUUGAUGGGUGAAUAGCUGAAGCAUGAUUGAGAAAACAGUAUGGAGCCCUUAUGUGGGUAUGUUUUCUCUGUUGUUUACAAGUGGUUUUCGGUAUUGUAGCUGAUGAGGCUGUAUGGAGCCCUUAUGUGGUCACUCGGUAAAGUCCUAAACACUCCUGAGGUUAUGCGCGUUUACAUCGGGACCUUUAGCGAGGGAACGCGGGAUUAAAUGGCUCAAGUGAUUGGAUAUUGCCGAAGACUCUGCCAAAGGAGGAAACAUGUUGAAUUGGCUGGAGAACUUUCAAAACGAACCAACGUUCAACCAGCCUUCCUAGCUUUCAACAUCGCUGCAGCCACCACUUCCAUACCGGACACUUUUUCAAAGUUGGAAUACACUAUGCUGAGAUUAUAAGAGGCUAGAGGUGCUGACCCAUUUACAACAAGAACCUGUUUUAGCAUCAACCCUAACCUGUUUGUGUUGCGGAUCUCGUGCUCAAUCUGAAGUGGGGGUUUAUGGUUAUUACCUGGUUAAAAGCUGUUAUUUGGUCCGUGAUUCUUAUCAUUAUAUAGUGGAGAGUGUGUAAGCGGUUCUCACCUCAGGCACAUCCAUGGCUAACUAAUUUAGAACGACAACUAAUCAUCAGGCUCUUGGACUGCCAGAAACGGUCACUAGAAGCCAGCACCCACGCGGCACAAAACUAGAGACUAACGCUUCGGCUCAUAGUCCAAGUCCUCUUUUUCGAGCAGCUUCGGCUGCGUACAUCUGUAGCUGGCUGCUUAUACGUUUCUGACAAUCACAACUCACAGCCUCACCUGAGCAUGCUUUAAGAAGUAUAUUUGACUUGAAAGGGUCAAUUUAGUCUAAAAUUUGGAGUUUAGGUAUAGGUCAAAUUCUAUUUGGUAAAGUUUGAAUAACUUUGUUUGAUUCUUCGAGCUGGUACUCAAUUCAUUGUUGUGUAAUGUUUUGUCCAGCAUUUACGAGGUGUUUAAAAACUAUAUGAUGUAUUCUAUACCUGAUAAAAAUGUCAACACCAUGCUUUGAAUUUGAUAAUUGACUUUCCAUUGUA